rnacentral:rRNA from 1 species
CCUACGGGAGGCAGCAGUGGGGAAUAUUGGGCAAUGGGCGCAAGCCUGACCCAGCAACGCCGCGUGAAGGAAGAAGGCUUUCGGGUUGUAUACUUCUUUUCUGAGGGACGAAGAAAGUGACGGUACCUCAGGAAUAAGCCACGGCUAACUACGUGCCAGCAGCCGCGGUAAUACGUAGGUGGCAAGCGUUAUCCGGAGUUAUUGGGUGUAAAGGGCGUGUAGGAGGGAAAGCAAGGCAGAUGUGAAAACUGAGGGCUCAACCCGGAGCCUGCAUUUGAAACUGUUUUUCUUGAGUGCGGGAGAGGCAAGCGGAAUUCGGGGUGUAGCGGUGAAAUGCGUAGAUAUACGGAGGAACACCAGUGGCGAAGGCGGAUUGCUGGACAGUAACUGACGCUGAGGCGCGAAAGCGUGGGGAGCAAACAGGAUUAGAUACCCGUGUAGUC